rnacentral:rRNA from 1 species
AUUGAACGCUGGCGGCAUGCUUUACACAUGCAAGUCGAACGGUAACAGGCCGCAAGGUGCUGACGAGUGGCGAACGGGUGAGUAAUGCAUCGGAACGUGCCCAGUCGUGGGGGAUAACUACUCGAAAGAGUAGCUAAUACCGCAUACGAUCUAUGGAUGAAAGCGGGGGACCGUAAGGCCUCGCGCGAUUGGAGCGGCCGAUGUCAGAUUAGGUAGUUGGUGGGGUAAAGGCUCACCAAGCCAACGAUCUGUAGCUGGUCUGAGAGGACGACCGGCCACACUGGGACUGAGACACGGCCCAGACUCCUGCGGGAGGCAGCAGUGGGGAAUUUUGGACAAUGGGCGCAAGCCUGAUCCAGCAAUGCCGCGUGCAGGAAGAAGGCCUUCGGGUUGUAAACUGCUUUUGUACGGAACGAAACGGCUCUGGUUAAUACCCGGGGCUAAUGACGGUACCGUAAGAAUAAGCACCGGCUAACUACGUG